AAGCCAGCAUACGAUCAGAACGGCAACCGCCAAGGGCUGGUUAAUUGGGUUCAGCAGGUCGGAGGCCCAGCGACGACCUUCGAUUUCACCACAAAGGGAAUACUACAAGCUGCCGUGGAAGGUGAACUGUGGAGAAUGCGUGAUCCCCAGGGGAAGGCGCCCGGCAUGAUGGGGUGGUGGCCGGAGAAGGCUGUCACCUUCGUCGACAACCACGAUACCGGUUCGACGCAAAGGUUGUGGCCUUUUCCUUCUGAUAAGGUCAUGCAAGGCUACGCUUAUAUACUCACGCAUCCGGGAGUCCUUUCCAUCGUAAGUAUGCUUCUGCCUAACAUUCGAUUCAAAUAGUUUCACAGCCUGACGAUUAUAUGUUCGUGCGUGCAGUUCUACGACCACAUGUUCGACUGGGGAUUGAAGGAGAAGAUAACUCGGUUGGCUGAAACCAGAACACGAAAUGGAAUUCAUUCGGGUAGCGCUCUCAACAUUCUGGCCGCUGAUGCUGACCUCUACAUGGCAAUGAUCGAUGGGAAGAUAUUGACAAAGCUAGGCUCGAGAUACGAUGUGGGGAAUCUCGUUCCUUCCAACUUCCACGUUGUUGCCUCUGGCAAUGACUACUGCGUGUGGGAGAAGAGAUGAAGACGAUGAUGAUGAAUCAUGGAAGAGACUUUUCGCUUCUAUUUCGUUAACGUUUUUCAUCUAUGUUGUAAGAAAAAAAUAUCGUUUCUCAUCUUUGUAAAUAUAUUUUAGUGUGAAAUCUUGGGUGCUGUUGUUAGCUUUAGAAAAAAGAUGGUUUCAUUGUGAUAUUAAAUGGAAUCAUGUUUACAUGCAAUCCAUCUAUUUCUUUGGAGCACCAUAGAUAGUUUUUUUCGCUAUGAAAUGCUUAUAGACUUGGUAGUAACAUAUGUGACAUCAGAACCCUUUUUUUUCUACAAUAACAAUAUGUUUAUAGAGAAAUUAAAAUCAUGAGCUAUAUUAUAAAAUUUUGGUAAAGAGUUAUCGAAAAUAUGAUAAGACUUAAAAUAAAUAUCUCUAAAAAUCAAUUUGAUUUUAUGCUCGAAAGAUCAAACAUAAAAAUUAUUUAUUUAUUAAAACAAUUAAUGAAAAAGUAUAGAGAGAAAAAAAAAAAUUGCAUAUGGGCUUUAUCAUGGUUCGUCUUACUAGUCUGUAUCGAUGUAUCGAUUAGUUAUCAGUACAAUACAUAUCGAGCCAUACCAACUUGUGCCGAGUGUACCAACACAUGGUACAUAGGGAAAUGCCGAUAUACUACCUGUAUCGAUCCCUUGUCAUACCGGUAUGUACUACUCGUAUCGAAUGAUAUGCUACGGUACGAUGAACAUUGGGCUUUAUUGACUUAUAGAAAGCCUGUGAUAGGGUUCUUAGAGAUUUAUUGUGGUGAGUUUUAAAAAAGAAAGGUAUAUUCACUAAUUAUAUUGAUAUUAUUAAAGAUAUAUAUAUAAUAAUAUAACUAUUGGUAUUAGAACUAUAGAAAGUGUGUCUAGUGAAUUUAUUAUUAAUAUAGGAUUACAUUAAGGAUUCUCGUUAAGUUCGUAUCUUUUCACAUUGAUAAUGGAUAAACUUACUAGCCAUUUACAUAAUAAACCUCUCCAGUAAAUGUUAUUUACUGAUGAUAUUAUCCUAGUUGAUGAGAGCCUAAGUGAAAUUGAUUAUAAACUUGAACUACGAAGAUAUGGAGAGAUCGAUGAAGACAUUAUUCAUUGAAUAACAACAUGAUGGUUAAAACGACAAGGGGCGUUAAGAGUAUUGUGUGAUCAUCGAAUACCUUUGAGAUUAAAAGAAAAAUUUUAUAAAGUAGUUGUGAAACCAACAAUACUUUAUGAAUCUAAAUGCUGGGUAGUUAAGAAACAACAUAUAUAAAAAGUUUGUGUUGCCGAGGUGAGAAUAUUGAAAUGAAUGUGUGGAGUUACUAUGAAAGAUUAGAAAAGAAAUAUUUUUAUUCGUGAACAAUUAGGUAACGCCUCGAUUGAGAAUAAGAUGAGAGAAAAUCGUUUAAGAUGAUAUGAACAUGUGCUUAGGAGACCUCUAGAUGUAGUAGUUAGAAAAGGUGAAAUGAUUAAUGUUAGUGAUACGAGGAAAGAUAGACGAAUAUCUAAAACGAUUUUACUGAAAAUUAUAAAUAAAGAUUUAAAUAUCUUAAAAUUAACUAAAUAUAUGAUUUUUACAAAUCCCAAUGAUGAUAAAAGAUCUAUGUAGCCGACCUCAAAUAGUUGGGAUUUACGGCUUUGUUGUUGUAAUAACAAUCUGCAUUUUGAUGAAUGAUAAAUGCUCACAAAUAAACAUGUUAGAUAACUAACAAUUGUUGUUACAUGUGUUGUACAAAAUAUAUUAUUGAUAUAUAUACAGUUAGAUCACGUUGUAGCCAUUAGAGUAUCAGGAAGCAUAUAUAUAUAUAAAAAGAGAUGUGUAAACAAUUGAUAUGUUUUCUUGUACUUGCAAAAACAGAUGUUUGUUUUUGUGUUUGCAUUUUUUUAUUCUGAUAUCCUUUUAUUGUUGUAUUUUGCUUAAUGAUUUCUUUUGUUUCAUGUGCUUCUAGCGGGGAGUUGCAUAGAAAGUUUAUGGUGAAGAAGAUUAGAGGAUUGCCCUAGAGGUAGUAUUCUACAAUAUUUAUCUUUAUAUUUAAUUUACAUUGGAUAUGAAUUUUCAUUUUUGGUAAAAUACACAUUCCAUCAGCUUGGGCUCUUCUUAUUAGAUUGAGUUAGACAUUAUAUCAAAUGUAGUUUUAACAACUACAGUUAGAUAUUAUAAUAGUAUUGUGUCCGACUGUAACUACACAGAUUAAUUCCUUCUUGCACGAGUCGCUAUUAUGAGGUUGAAUUUUCUCUAUGCUAAUUAGUCUAGUAUUGAUAUCAAAGGAUGUGUUUGCUUACAGUAAAUUAUAUUUUUGAAACACAUGCUUCACCAUUUUUUUAAUCUUGUGUAGGGUUUGGUGUACAAAGAAAACAAAAGUUAGUUUUCGGAUUUUUUUUAAGCUUCUCAUGUAGUAAGCCUUGUGGUCAUCACCAUUAUUGGCCUUUACAUUGUUGUUGUCAUCACUAUAUUACUACAAUGAUAAAUGCUACCAUUGCUCCUGUCGUUGUUGUCACCUAGGUUUGCAAUACCGAAUGAUACCGCCCGUAUCGGAUGAUACGUAAUGGUCCGUCAGCAGAUCGGUAGAAGGACUGCCCACUACUGAGCGGCAUCAUCCAUUGAGGUGUUAUCGUCGUCGAUUGAGGCGUUAUCGUCGACGGUGGCCGAGGGAGAAGAAAGAAGAGGGAAAAGGAGAAGAAAAAAAUAGGAAAAAAAGGGAGAAUCUAGAGAUCAUCGCUCUCCUCCUCAAAAAUUCAAUUAUCCUUGGUUAUAUAUGAUUAAGAUCCAUCAUCAAUAAUAGAAACGAAGCCAUAUCUUAGAGAUCUAGUAGUACUUAGAAAAAAAUCUCUAAUAUAUAGUUUUAGUCACACCGUCCCAUGCUUGUAAUGCAUAUCUUUAAUAUUAUAAUUAAGAGCAUAAAAAUUAGCUUGUUAAGGCUGACCUUCCUGAAUUGGUAGUCCAAAUUAUCAAUGUUUUUUUUUUUUGUUUCAUCGGCGUCUUCCUGUGAUCCAUUUUGACUCCUUCAAGUAACAUCUGUCAGUUUAUUAUUUUGCUUUUGUUUGUCAUGACAUUAUAAUGACUCUUAACAAUUUCCCCCUAUUGGUUUAUCCAUACCUUCGUUUUCUGCUACGAGUAUCACCAUAGCAUAUCCUCGUCAAAACAUAUGAUCAACAUAAUUCACCAUCCAUCAGUUCUUUUGAAAACCUCAAUCAAAUGCAUCAUUGCCAAUCCUUUAAUUUGAUUCCCACUUAUGGCCUCGUUAUUUCUCUGCAUAUCACAGCACUCACUGGAUUAACCUCAGUCUAUUACAUGAUUACUGGAUAGGCAUAUCAAACCUGGCAUGUGACAUGGUGUUAUGACUGUUUGGAAUACAAUCAGUCUCAUGCAAAGGACUUUGUGCUGUAUCAAUAGCUCUAUUGUUCCAUAAACAUAUCCUACAUUUGAUCUUCUUCACAUAUUAGAUUGCCUCCUCAACAUCCAGGAUAGACAUCAUUUUGUUGCACACCAACCCCAAAAAGUUGAGACAUUAUAGAUUAUUGUUGUUAUCCUUGUAUAUCAUCUUUAAAUAAGAAAUGAUCAAUUCAGCAUUUGUUCUAGAGAUUGUAUUUCUGCAAUUGCCAACGGAAAAUAUGACUAAUUUUGGCAAUAUUCUCAAGCACUAUUUAUCUUAAUUAUGAUUAUGGUCCUAACAUUUACCUUCUCAGUUAAUCUAUAUAUUUUUUCAUAUCUCAGACAUUGAUCUUAAUAUAAGAUGCCUAUUCGAGCUUGGCAUAGCUGGUUAUCUCAUAUAUUAUUAACCAUAUUUA
rnacentral:lncRNA from 1 species